rnacentral:rRNA from 1 species
GGCUCAAGCGGUGACGGUAGCUUGAUUGGUGGAUCAGUGGCGAACGGGUGAUUAACACGUGAGCAACCUGCCCUGGACUCUGGGAUAAGCGCUGGAAACGGCGUCUAAUACUGGAUAUGAGCCUCUUCCGCAUGGUGGGGGUUGGAAAGAUUUUUUGGUCUGGGAUGGGCUCGCGGCCUAUCAGCUUGUUGGUGAGGUAAUGGCUCACCAAGGCGUCGACGGGUAGCCGGCCUGAAAGGGUGACCGGCCACACUGGGACUGAAACACGGCCCAAACUCCUACGGGAGGCAGCAGUGGGGAAUAUUGCACAAUGGGCGAAAGCCUGAUGCAGCAACGCCGCGUGAGGGAUGACGGCCUUCGGGUUGUAAACCUCUUUUAACAGGGAAGAAGCGAAAGUGACGGUACCUGCAGAAAAAGCGCCGGCUAACUACGUGCCAGCAGCCGCGGUAAUACGUAGGGCGCAAGCGUUAUCCGGAAUUAUUGGGCGUAAAGAGCUCGUAAGCGGUUUGUCGCGUCUGCUGUGAAAUCCCGAGGCUCAACCUCGGGCCUGCAGUGGGUACGGGCAGACUAGAGUGCGGUAGGGGAGAUUGGAAUUCCUGGUGUAGCGGUGGAAUGCGCAGAUAUCAGGAGGAACACCGAUGGCGAAGGCAGAUCUCUGGGCCGUAACUGACGCUGAAGAGCGAAAGGGUGGGGAGCAAACAGGCUUAGAUACCCUGGUAGUCCACCCCGUAAACGUUGGGAACUAGUUGUGGGGACCAUUCCACGGUUUCCGUGACGCAACUAACGCAUUAAGUUCCCCCGCCCUGGGGAGUACGGCCGCAAGGCUAAAACUCAAAGGAAUUGACGGGGACCCGCACAAGCGGCGGAGCAUGCGGAUUAAUUCGAUGCAACGCGAAGAACCUUACCAAGGCUUGACAUACACCAGAACGGGCCAGAAAUGGUCAACUCCUUUGGACACUGGUGAACAGGUGGUGCAUGGUUGUCGUCAGCUCGUGUCGUGAGAUGUUGGGUUAAGUUCCCGCAACGAGCGCAACCCUCGUUCUAUUGUUGCAGCACGUAAUGGUGGAACUCAUGGAUACUGCUGGUCACCUCGAGAAGGGUGGGAUG